AUUGAACGCUGGCGGCAUGCUUUACACAUGCAAGUCGAACGGCAGCACGGGAGCUUGCUCCUGGUGGCGAGUGGCGAACGGGUGAGUAAUGCAUCGGAACGUACCCAGUAGUGGGGGAUAGCCCGGCGAAAGCCGGAUUAAUACCGCAUAUUUCCUGAGGGAGAAAGCGGGGGGACCUUCGGGCCUCGCGCUACUGGAGCGGCUGAUGUCGGAUUAGCUAGUUGGUGAGGUAAAGGCUCACCAAGGCGACGAUCCGUAGCUGGUCUGAGAGGAUGAUCAGCCACACUGGGACUGAGACACGGCCCAGACUCCUACGGGAGGCAGCAGUGGGGAAUUUUGGACAAUGGGGGCAACCCUGAUCCAGCCAUGCCGCGUGAGUGAAGAAGGCCUCGGUU
rnacentral:rRNA from 1 species